rnacentral:rRNA from 1 species
GGGUCCAUGAGUGUCAGUGACGGGGCAUUCUCUUCGGAGCAUUGGAGACAGGUGGUGCAUGGUUGUCGUCAGCUCGUGUCGUGAGAUGUUGGGUUAAGUCCCGCAACGAGCGCAACCCUUAUCCUUAGUAGCCAGCAGGUAAAGCUGGGCACUCUAGGGAGACUGCCGGGGAUAACCCGGAGGAAGGCGGGGAUGACGUCAAAUCAUCAUGCCCCUUAUGAUUUGGGCUACACACGUGCUACAAUGGCGUAAACAAAGGGAAGCGAGACAGUGAUGUUGAGCAAAUCCCAAAAAUAACGUCUCAGUUCGGAUUGUAGUCUGCAACUCGACUACAUGAAGCUGGAAUCGCUAGUAAUCGCGAAUCAGCAUGUCGCGGUGAAUACGUUCCCGGGUCUUGUACACACCGACGAA